ACUUGCUUGGAAUACCGAAACGGCAAGAUCCCCUGCCUGCAUGACGCGUCCCUGUCUCUCUCUAUUAAUGGUGUAUGAUUCAAUUUCUUUCUCAUUCUCACUCUCCUUCUAACACACUGAAACUGCAAGGCUGAUACGCUAACCCUAGACGGCUAGACGUGUUUUCAAAAGGCUACAACCCUCAUUUUUCGGAGAUUUUGAGAAAAAAAUGGACCGGUUCUCUGCUCUGCCGAAAAUUAUACUUCAUGACAUUCUUGUAAGGCUGCCAGACAAAGAUGCUGCCAAGACUAGUGUUUUGUCAAAGGCGUGGAAUGACACAUGGUUUUCAUUUCCCAAUCUAUCUGUUUGCAGCGAGGAUUU